UGCGUCCGUAGCUCAGUUGGUUAGAGCACCACCUUGACAUGGUGGGGGUCGAUGGUUCGAGUCCAUUCGGACGCACCAC
rnacentral:tRNA from 9 species